AUUGAACGCUGGCGGCAGGCCUAACACAUGCAAGUCGAACGAGUGGCGGACGGGUGAGUAAUGUCUGGGAAACUGCCUGAUGGAGGGGGAUAACUACUGGACACGGUAGCUAAUACCGCAUACCAUCAGAUUUGCCCAGCUGGGUUUAGCUAUUUGGUGGGGUAACGGCUCCCCAAGGCGACGAUCCCUAGCUGGUCUGAGAGGAUGACCGGCCACACGGGAAAUGAGACACGGUCCAGACUCCGACGGGAGGCAGCAGUGGGGAGUAUUGCACAGUGGGCGCAAGCCUGAUGCAGCCAUGCCGCGUGUAUGAAGAAGGCCGUCGGGUUGUAAAGUACUUUCAGCGGGGAGGCGUUACCCGCAGAAGAAGCACCGGCUAACUCCGUGCCAGCAGCCGCGGUAAUUC
rnacentral:rRNA from 1 species